AAUAGAUACCCAGGUAGUCCACGCCGUAAACGAUGAGUGCUAAGUGUUAGGGGGUUUCCGCCCCUUAGUGCUGCAGCUAACGCAUUAAGCACUCCGCCUGGGGAGUACGGUCGCAAGACUGAAACUCAAAGGAAUUGACGGGGGCCCGCACAAGCGGUGGAGCAUGUGGUUUAAUUCGAAGCAACGCGAAGAACCUUACCAGGUCUUGACAUCCCAUUGACCACUAUGGAGACAUAGUUUUCCCUUCGGGGACAACGGUGACAGGUGGUGCAUGGUUGUCGUCAGCUCGUGUCGUGAGAUGUUGGGUUAAGUCCCGCAACGAGCGCAACCCUUGUUCUUAGUUGCCAUCAUUUAGUUGGGCACUCUAAGGAGACUGCCGGUGACAAACCGGAGGAAGGUGGGGAUGACGUCAAAUCAUCAUGCCCCUUAUGACCUGGGCUACACACGUGCUACAAUGGACGGUACAAACGGUUGCCAACCCGCGAGGGGGAGCUAAUCCGAUAAAACCGUUCUCAGUUCGGAUUGUAGGCUGCAACUCGCCUACA
rnacentral:rRNA from 1 species